CUGUUUCUUUUUUUUAUUUCCUCACAUGGGACAAUGCUCUAAUAAUGAUGAUCAUCACACUUUUAUUUACUCACAGCUCAAUGCUUAGAAUAAUGAUGACUCUAUAGGAAAUGCCUCCGACAGUGUACCGGGAUGUGCAACGAUCUAGCUUAGCGUAUGACUCGCUAGCUAUCUUAUGAUCAUGCAAUGGAAAUAUGAAAGUGAC
rnacentral:lncRNA from 1 species